CCCUUAGAUGUUCUGGGCCGCACACGCGCUACACUGAAGGAGGCAAUGUGUACUCCUGGCCCGAGAGGGCUGGGUAACCCGUUGAAUCUCCUUCGUGCUAGGGAUUGAGGUUUGCAAUUAUCUCUCAUGAACGAGGAAUUCCCAGUAAGUGCAAGUCAUAAGCUUGUACUGACUACGUCCCUGCCCUUUGUACACACCGCCCGUCGCUACUACCGAUUGAAUGAUUUAGUGAGGACUUUGGACCGGAUCCCAUGUGGUCUUUAUGGCUGUGUUGGAUAACGGGAAGACGUCCAAACUGUAUCAUUUAGAGGAAGGAGAAGUCGUAACA
rnacentral:rRNA from 1 species